GAUGAACGCUGGCGGCGUGCCUAAUACAUGCAAGUCGAGCGAAUGGAUUAAGAGCUUGCUCUUAUGAAGUUAGCGGCGGACGGGUGAGUAACACGUGGGUAACCUGCCCAUAAGACUGGGAUAACCCCGGGAAACCGGGGCUAAUACCGGAUAACAUUUUGAACCGCAUGGUUCGAAAUUGAAAGGCGGCUUCGGCUGUCACUUAUGGAUGGACCCGCGUCGCAUUAGCUAGUUGGUGGGGUAACGGCUCACCAAGGCAACGAUGCGUAGCCGACCGGGGAGGGUGAUCGGCCACGCUGGGACGGGGACACCGCCCAGACUACUACGGGAGGCAGCAGUAGGGAAUCUUCCGCAAUGGACGAAAGUCUGACGGAGCAACGCCGCGUGAGUGAUGAAGGCUUUCGGGUCGUAAAACUCUGUUGUUAGGGAAGAACAAGUGCUAGUUGAAUAAGCUGGCACCUUGACGGUACCUAACCAGAAAGCCACGGCUAACUACGUGCCAGCCGCCGCGGUAA
rnacentral:rRNA from 1 species